rnacentral:RNase_P_RNA from 1 species
CAAGUGGAACAUACGGCGGCGGGGCGGCUUCGGCCGUCCUGAGGAAAGUCCGGGCUUCACAAGGGAUGGUAACUGCUAACGGCAGCCGGGGGUGACCCCAGGGAUAGUGCAACAGAAAUAGACCGCCCUGCUCUGCGGGGUAAGGAUGGAAAGGCGAGGUAAGAGCUCACCAGCGCACUGGCGACUUUGCGGCUAUGUAAACCCUACCAGAAGCAACACCCGUAUGGGACAGAUGCGUACCCUGCGCGUCCCGGAGGUGGCAUGAGCCGUGCGGCGACGCACGGACACAGACAGAUCGUCGUUUAAUACAAAACCCGGCUUACGGUCCAGUUGUUUU